GUGACGCGCAUGAAUGGA
rnacentral:ncRNA from 3 species